rnacentral:rRNA from 1 species
AUGAACGCUAGCGGCAGGCUUAAUACAUGCAAGUCGAACGGUAACAGGUCUUCGGACGCUGACGAGUGGCGCACGGGUGAGGAACACGUACACAAUCUACCUUAUACUGGAGAAUAGCCCCGGGAAACUGGGAUUAAUACUCCAUAGUCUUUAAUGAUCACAUGAGAAAUAAAGUAAAGCUUCGGCGGUAUAAGAUGAGUGUGCGUCCCAUUAGAUUGUUGGUGAGGUAACGGCUCACCAAGUCGACGAUGGGUAGCUGGCGUGAGAGCGCGACCAGCCACACUGGCACUGAGACACGGGCCAGACUCCUACGGGAGGCAGCAGUAGGGAAUAUUGGUCAAUGGACGAAAGUCUGAACCAGCCAUGCCGCGUGGAGGAUGACUGCCCUCUGGGUUGUAAACUCCUUUUAUAUGGGAAGAAACCUCUGGAUUCACUCCAGAGCUGACGGUAUCAUAUGAAUAAGCACCGGCUAACUCCGUG